rnacentral:lncRNA from 1 species
CCUAGACCUUGAGGUGAUCAGCAUAAGAGGCCAGAUCCCCUCGAGUCAUCUACACCUAGCUUCACCUUAUUCUUUAAAGGGCAGAAAAUUUGAGACGGUGAUCGCCGUAACAGUAAAUUUGGCUUACAAUUGGGGCCCCCCUCCGGUUUAGAAAGAGGAACACCAGAUUGACCACAUUCCCAACUAGAAAAAUCUUCUUGCGUCAAUCAAGCCUCACCUGGCUCAUUUGGCUGUCAGUUUGAUCGUCGUUAGAUUGAAGAAAACAUCUAGAUGCAGCGAUCGGCUAUAGAUACUUCUAGAUCGUCUAGAUCUACUAGACCAUGGGCCAAAGAGGGUCGACCUGCAAACUUGCAAGGUCACGGUCUAGAUCACAUUCUCGAUCCAGAGGAAGGCGAUACUCUCGCUCACGCAGCAGGAGCAGGGGACGAAGGUCAGCAUCUCCUCGACGAUCAAGAUCUAUCUCUCUUCGUAGAUCAAGAUCAGCUUCACUCAGAAGAUCUAGGUCUGGUUCUAUAAAAGGAUCGAGGUAUUUCCAAUCCCCGUCGAGGUCAAGAUCAAGAUCCAGGUCUAUUUCACGACCAAGAAGCAGCCGAUCAAAGUCCAGAUCUCCAUCUCCAAAAAGAAGUCGUUCCCCAUCAGGAAGUCCUCGCAGAAGUGCAAGUCCUGAAAGAAUGGACUGAAGCUCUCAAGUUCACCCUUUAGGGAAAAGUUAUUUUGUUUACAUUAUUAUAAGGGAUUUGUGAUGUCUGUAAAGUGUAACCUAGGAAAGAUAAUUCAACCAUCUAAUCAAAAUGGAUCUGGAUUACUAUGUAAAUUCACAGCAGUAAGAUAAUAUAAAUUUUGUUGAAUGUAUUAACAUCAUAUGGUCUGAAAAUGUGGGUUUUUAUUUGGCACAUUUAAAUAAAAUGUUUCUAACUAG